GCUCCGCCCGCAACGACGUCAACUACAACGCUGGAGGUCACCGGAGGAAAUCCAGCGCCGUGCAACAAAGAGCUCAUCACCGAAGACCAACGCUGCAGUGCGUUCUUCAUUCUGUUCCACGAGACUCUGGACCAGACCACCGCGAGCAGACAGCUGGACUUCAUGUGCGCUCUUGGUGAAAUGACCACGUCCCGUCAGGAUCCUGUGGAGCUCAUGGGCCAUGACACCAGGACCUACUUCAGCACCUCAAAGAGAAUGGACCAAAUGUCAACUGGAAGUUUUUAUAUUAAUACAGUUUGAAAAGGAUUGUUUUCCUAGUAUAUUCACAAAAGCUCAGGAGUAGACGUAUGAACCUGUGCACAAACAUCCAUCACAUAGAGACAUAAGAACACACACACACAUACAUUCUAUUAUGUAAUUGAAUUUGCCUUUUAAAAGCAGCUGGAAAUGUUAUUUGUUAUUUUAUGGAUUUUUUUUGUUCAAAAGGAACUAUGUUGCAUGUAUUUUUAAAAUAUAUUUACUUAAUUUUAGAGACAUUUGUUCAUGGGACUUAAAUAUUCUGAAAAUGUAUUAAUAAAUAUAAUUUACAACAGCAA